GUCAGGAUGGCCGAGCGGUCUAAGGCGCUGCGUUAAGGUCGCAGUCUCCUCUGGAGGCGUGGGUUCGAAUCCCACUUCUGACA
rnacentral:tRNA from 2 species